rnacentral:rRNA from 1 species
CACCGCGGUUAUACGAGAGGCCCAAGUUGACAGAUGCCGGCGUAAAGCGUGGUUAAAGAAAUGUUAAAACUAAAGUCGAAUAUCUUCAAAGCAGUUACACGCAUCCGAAGGCCCGAAGCCCUAACACGAAAGUGGCUUUAUUAAACUUGACCCCACGAAAGCUAUGAUA